UACGAAGGGGGCAAGCGUUGUUCGGAAUUACUGGGCGUAAAGGGCUCGUAGGCGGCCAACUAAGUCCGACGUGAAAUCCCAAGGCUUAACCUUGGAACUGCGUCGGAUACUGGAUGGCUUGAAUUCGGGAGAGGGAUGCAGAAUUCCAGGUGUAGCGGUGAAAUGCGUAGAUAUCUGGAGGAACACCGGUGGCGAAGGCGGGUCUCUGGGCCGAUACUGACGCUGAGGAGCGAAAGCGUGGGGAGCGAACAGG
rnacentral:rRNA from 1 species